GAUGAACGCUGGCGGCGUGCCUAAUACAUGCAAGUCGAGCGAACGGACGAGAAGCUUGCUUCUCUGAUGUUAGCGGCGGACGGGUGAGUAACACGUGGAUAACCUACCUAUAAGACUGGGAUAACUUCGGGAAACCGGAGCUAAUACCGGAUAAUAUUUUGAACCGCAUGGUUCAAAAGUAAAAGACGGUCUUGCUGUCACUUAUAGAUGGAUCCGCGCUGCAUUAGCUAGUUGGUAAGGUAACGGCUUACCAAGGCAACGAUGCAUAGCCGACCUGAGAGGGUGAUCGGCCACACUGGAACUGAGACACGGUCCAGACUCCUACGGGAGGCAGCAGUAGGGAAUCUUCCGCAAUGGGCGAAAGCCUGACGGAGCAACGCCGCGUGAGUGAUGAAGGUCUUAGGAUCGUAAAACCCUGUUAUUAGGGAAGAACAUAUGUGUAAGUAAAUGUGCACACCUUGACGGUACCUAAGCAGAAAGCCCCGGCUAACUACGUG
rnacentral:rRNA from 1 species